rnacentral:lncRNA from 1 species
ACUCUACAGAUUAGAGGACCCCAUUUCAAGAUUGAAAUUUAAGAUCAAAUAAUACCUGACCAUAGUACAGUAUAUUUCCCUAUUUCCAUUAAAAUGAUUUUAAGCCUGUGAACAUUAAGAAAUGUUACAUUUGGACUACAAACAUUAAAUAUAAUAUUUGUUUUUUUUCUUCCUAUAAACAGUUUUCAUUGCUGGCAGAAGCCAUAUCACAGGAACAUCAAGAACUUAAAGCCAGAGAGAAAUCUCAGGCCCAGACAUUACAUAAGGUGAAGAGGGAGCUGAGAUCUAAGAUGGAGAAGGAAAUUCAGCAGCUGCAGGACAUGAUAACACAGAAUGAUGAUGAUGUUUUCUUCCGGGAACUGGAAGCUGAGCGCUUCAGAUCUCGGCUUCAGCUGGCUUCCUUUCAGUACAGUAAAAGUCCCUCCCUAUGAGGCCAGACUUGAUAAUAGUAGGUGAAGGUUCUGGAGGCCUUUACCAGGACAGAGCUAGAAUCGAGCCAGUAAACAGUCUAAGCCAGAAAAAUAAUUUUCAAAUGCUUUACCUGUAUUUUCAUUCCAGUACUUUUUAUGAUUUUUUAAAUAAAAAUUGUUUUCUAAAA